GAUAAGGGCGUCGAUUAGCGGUGCACGUGCACAGGGGAGAGUCGCGUAACCUGUCAUGAAUAACGGGACUACCGUAGAAGUAAGCCUGCCUUGCGGCGUGCUUUGAGGGGAAUCACAAAGAAAAGGCUACACUCGUAGAAAUUUAUGGGAAUGAGCUUUCGGACGCGGUUUCGAUUACCGCCAUCUCCACCA
rnacentral:tmRNA from 1 species